rnacentral:rRNA from 1 species
GGAAGUAAAGAAGGGCACAUGGUGGAUGCCUAGGCUCUCGGAGGCGAUGAAGGACGUGAUAAGCUGCGAAAAGCCGCGCGUAGGUGCAAAUAACCGGUGAUGCGCGGAUUUCCGAAUGGGACAACCCGUCAUCCUGAAGGGAUGACAUCCGUCAAAGACGGAGGCGAACGCGGGGAACUGAAACAUCUUAGUACCCGCAGGAAAAGAAAAUAAGAAUGAUUCCCCCAGUAGUGGCGAGCGAACGGGGAAGAGCCCAAACUCCGGACGUUUCGGCGUCCGGAGGGUAGUAGGACCACGUGAACGCACGAGGAAGGCGAGCGGAAGGCGCUGGAAAGCGCCGCCACAGGGCGUGAAAGCCGCGUACGCGAAGCCUGACGAAGCGGAGUGGUAUCCUGAGUAGCGCGGGACACGAGGAAUCCUGCGUGAAUCGGCCGGGACCAUCCGGCAAGGCUAAAUACUCCCGAGAGACCGAUAGUGGACCAGUACCGUGAGGGAAAGGUGAAAAGCACCCCGAACAGGGGAGUGAAACAGACCCUGAACCCAUGUGCCUACAAGCGGUCGGAGCACCCGUGGUGGUGUGACGGCGUGCCUUUUGCAUAAUGAACCUACGAGUUGCCGUUGCCGGCAAGGUUAAGCGCCCAUAGGCGCGCAGCCGAAGCGAAAGCGAGUCCGAAGAGGGCGUUCAGUCGGCAGUGGCAGACGCGAAACCAAGUGAUCUACCCUUGUCCAGGAUGAAGUCUGGGUAACACCAGAUGGAGGUCCGCACCAAUAAGCGUUGAAAAGCUUCUGGAUGAGGUGAGGGUAGGGGUGAAAGGCCAAUCAAACUUGGAGAUAGCUCGUACUCCCCGAAAUGCAUUUAGGUGCAGCCUUGGCGGUUAGUGCCGAGAGGUAGAGCGACUGAUAAGAUGCGAGGGCUUCACCGCCUAUCAAGUCUUGCCAAACUCCGAAUGCUCGGCAGUAAGACGCCAGGAGUGAGGGGCAGGGUGCUAAGGUCCUGUCCCGAGAGGAGAAGAAUCCGGACCACCGGCUAAGGUCCCGAAAUAAUGGCCGAGUUAGUCAAACGAAGUAGGAUUGCCGUGACAGCUAGGAUGUUGGCUUGGAAGCAGCCAUCCAUUUAAAGAGUGCGUAACAGCUCACUAGUCGAGGAAUCCUGCGUGGAUAAUAAUCGGGUAUAAGCCAUUUACCGAAGCCGUGGGAACCGCAAGGUUCGGUAGGGGAGCAUUCCAUGUCCGCCGAAGGCGCGGCGCGAGCCGUACUGGAGGGCAUGGAAAAGCAAAUGUAGGUAUAAGUAACGAUAAAGGGGGCGUGAAACCCCCUCGCCGUAAGACCAAGGAUUCCUGAUCAACGCUAAUCGGAUCAGGGUAAGUCGGGGCCUAAGGCUCAGCCGAAGGGCGAGGCCGAUGGAUGAAACGUUUAAUAUUCCGUUACUGCCGCAUCCCGUGACGUGGUGACGGAGCAGUGAAAGUGCCGCCGUCUGACGGAAAAGACGGUUGAAGGGUGUAGAUGCCGACUGCCGCAGGCAAAUCCACGGCAGGAGUCGAACCUGAAAGUAUGGCGCGUCCUUCGGGACAAGCCAACAGCGCACGUAAUCAUACUCCCAAGAAAACCCGCUAAACAAAAAGGAUGUGGCACCCGUACCGUAAACGGACACACGUGGUCGGGUAGAAUAUACCAAGGCGCUUGAGUGAAUCACGGUUAAGGAACUAGGCAAAUUGUCCCUGUAACUUCGGGAAAAAGGGUCCUCAUUGUAAGAUGAGGCGCAGUGAAAGAGUCCAGGCAACUGUUUACCAAAAACACAGGGCUGUGCGAAUAUGAAAAUAGAAGUAUACAGCCUGACACCUGCCCGGUGCCGGAAGGUUAAGAGGAGAGGUCAUCGCAAGAGAAGCCUUGAAUUGAAGCCCCGGUAAACGGCGGCCGUAACUAUAACGGUCCUAAGGUAGCGAAAUUCCUUGUCGGGU